GGUACCACCUCCUGUCCCAACUAGAUCAGAUGCAAUGUCUAUCCAAAAUAGUAAUAUUUUCAAAAAUUUGGCAGAUAUAGAAAAUACUUCUUUUGUUGACCUUGUAGAAAUUUUUCAGCCUCCGUUAAGAUUGUGAUAAAAGAAGGUGUUACGCAUUAGAAAAAGGUAAAGAAGCUGGGAGAAAUAGUUGUAAAGGGAAAGGAGAUUAUGACAGAAGCAGAAGACUUCCAAUAGUGAGGAUGAGGACUAUCUUAAAUUAAAGGCAUUGGCAAGCGCUCCAAGGUGAAAACUUUUCUUCAUAGCAUUCAUGAGUUCUUCUAUAAAAAUACCUCGAAAGGAAAAGAAAAAGGACAGAAACUUUCAUGCUUAAAUAAAAAAAUGUAUAAGUGAGCAGAAAGAAUGGGAGAUCAAGAACAGGAUACCAAAUCAAGAGUUGUGAAGGUAAACUCUGAGGAAUCAUCAAACUUCCCAUGUAAAUCAAGUCACAAUUCUAUGAUGCCCUGUAACCAAAACCAACAUAGUGAGGAAAAAAAUUUAAUUUUUAUGCAAGCCAUAUAUGUGAACUUUAUAUGCUGUUAGAAGAAAAUCCUCAUCUUAUUCAUGGCUGAAGCUUAUUUGUUUCUUCAA